rnacentral:snoRNA from 1 species
CCAGGCUCUGCCCAAAUGGUGAUUGGGAGCACCGGGCUUGACCCGUGACACUCAGUCCCUUUUCAUAACAUUGGGGAAGAAGCCGGGCCUUGAGUCUGUGCCUGCAUCUUCUAUGACUUCUCAGAGUGCUGUGGACAGUGACUGAGGGGUCAAACCAGGCAGGAAACAGUG